UGCAUUUCUGUUGCCGCCCUUGCACAAUGCUGAAGCUGAUAUUUUGCUUCUUGUUUCUUCUUUUUGCAUUCAAUUUGUAAUUUUGAUACAAAUUUAGGACUCUUGGUUGUAGGACAGUGAAACAUAGGUUAAAAUAACUGCCAAAGAUUUUAUUCUCACUGUUGCCAACUAACAUUUGUUCUUCUGUAGGUGCAAGUUCCGUUUCUGGAUUUUUUGCAGCAGCUUGCAGUUUACCAUUUGACUAUGUCAAGACCCAGAUUCAGAAGAUGCAACCUGAUGCUGAUGGAAAAUAUCCAUACACCGGCUCUCUUGAUUGUGCUGCAAAAACCCUCAAAGCUGGAGGACCCUUCAAAUUUUACACUGGAUUCCCUGUCUAUUGUAUUAGGAUUGCUCCUC
rnacentral:lncRNA from 1 species